rnacentral:rRNA from 1 species
CCUACGGGUGGCAGCAGUGAGGAAUAUUGGUCAAUGGGCGUAAGCCUGAACCAGCCAAGUCGCGUGAGGGAUGAAGGUUCUAUGUAUCGUAAACCUCAUUUGUAAGGGAAUAAAGUGUGGGACGUGUCCUAGUAUGUAUGUACCUUAUGAAUAAGGAUCGGCUAACUCCGGGCCAGCAGCCGCGGUAAUACGGAGGAACCGAGCGUUAUCCGGGUUUAUUGGGUUGAAAAGGUGCGUAGUCGGCAGUGUAAGUCAGAGGUGAAAGUCUGUGGCUCAACCAUGGAAUUGCGGUUGAAACUGGGCAGCUAGAGUAUAUGUGAGGCAGGUGGAAUGCGUGGUGUAGCGGUGAAAUGCUUAGAUAUCAGGAAGAACCCCAGUGGCGAAGGCAGCCUGCCAAGCCAUGACUGACGCUGAUGCACGAAAGCGUGGGGAUCAAACAGGAUUAGAUACCCUAGUAGUC